UCAGAUGUGCCAGUCUUUGCUUCUUCUCCCCGGUGUCCUGGAUCUGCAAACCCCUCCUGGCUUUCCGGCCCCUCUGCUCACCACUGGUGACCGCAUACAGACAGGGCACAUGCCCCUCCCCCUUCCCAGAAGAGAGCCACUUCCACUCUUCUAAAGGUCAAGACUUAUCCACACACAAAUGUCAUUAUAACAGCCAAGGGACUGCACAUGGCAGAAGCCACUCAGAAAUGGAGAAAGGAGGGCAGAACCUGAUUUUCCCAGAAGCCAUGGUCCUGUGAGGCUAAGCAAAGAAAAUGAGUGCAACCUUGUUUCCCAAAGAGCUGUUUGCAAAGUAACCAGAAAGCAGUUAUGAUGGCUACCGGACUAAAGAUUUAAAACAUUGUUUAGAAGUAAUAUCACUAUGUUACGUUAUCUGACCCAUAGAAAUGCCUCCCUUCUCAUAAACACCAUUACCUUUGUCUCCUAAUCGGAACACACUAUAUGGAUUUCUGCCUAAAUCAGUGUGUCCCAAAAAGCUCUUCUUAGUGAUCUUAAAUAAAUGCUUGUUGCCACUCACUUUAAAGGGCCUUUAUUUUUAGGUUAACAGUUGCUGGUACUUAAAAAUCAAGAGAUCUCACAUAUGCCUCAGAUUCUACUCUUGAAAAAUCGGAAGAGCAAGGCACACUGGACCUGCCUUCUGGCAGCGACCGAGACCAGAGCUGAGCAGGGCUGCCCUCUCUGCCACUGGCCCCUGCAGAGUCCUCCCUACCUACUACCUACCUGGCAGGUCACUUUGCACCUGUCAAAGUAUCCCUGUUUCUUUUUUAAAGGCUAAAGGAGCUACCAGCCCCCACCAGGGCUGAUCUACCUUCCUAAAUUGUUUCCAUCCCUUCCCCAUCAUCUCUACACUAGCACCCACGCCCUCCUUUCACAGGGCAAGGCCAGGUGUGCUGACUUGAGCAGGUCUCCUGCUAGGACUCCACCUUGCUGAUAAAAGCCCCGCCACGCAUGCGCGCACGCGGGUUCCCGUGGGAGGUCACACAGUACCAGCGUUACUGAGGGAGGGGACACCCACACAUACCCGGGUUACUGCAAGAAGUGACACACAGGCACGACAGGUUAGUGCAGGAGGUCACACACACACACACACACCCGUUACUGCUGGAGGUGACAGACCCAGACACCAGAGACCGUGUGCCAUGAUCACCUGUCUGUACCAGUUCCAAGCACAAGUCAGCACCUUGUGCUGGACGUACGAGGGUUUGAAAGAUCUCGCUGAAGAUUUCUUCUGUACCCGGAAAACAUAUUUUCAGUCUGAGAAGAAUGAUUUUCAAUGGUUCUGUUGAACAUGCAAUUCUCACGCAAGUAUUUCUAUAAUUAUGCUUUUUCAGUUAUAACACAGUUUCUGGAACAAUAGGACUUUUAUUGUAUUGCCAUAUCUGUUAUAAUAGAUGUUUUAUUACGGAAAAUUAUGGGAGAGUCACUAUUAUGAUUCUGAAGUUUUUAUUUCAAAUCGCUCAUAGGAUGGAAAUUCUUUCUCCCAAGUCAUUUUUACUUUCUGCUGCUUUGGUUUUUGGUUUUUUUCAGGGGUGGGGGUUGAACUUUGUUCUGUUUGGGGUUGGUUCGAUGAUGGAAUGUUUCCUUUUGCUGCAGUGCAGAGCUGCCCCUGGUGUGUGUUGGUUUGUUGUUAGCAUGUGGUGCACACAAUUUUUAAAAAAUGUCAUCUAGAUUGUUCCAUCUGUAUCUGCAUGCGUCAGUCUGCUCGGGUGCCGUUACAGACACCCCUGAUUGGAGGUCCGACAACAGAAAUUUGUUUCUCGCAGUUCUGGAGCCUGGAAGCUCAGCAUCAAGGUGCCAGCAAGGUUGGCUUCAUGCUGAGGCCUCUUUUCUUGGCCUGCAGGCGGCCCCCACCUUGCUGUGGGCGCGCGUGGCCUCUGCGAGUGCGGGGGGAAGCUGAAGUUGGGGCUUCAGCAUGUGAAGUCCAGAGCUUCCAUAACUUUGACUGUUGUCGCUGAAGAAGUGUCCAGAGCACUUGUAUUAAAUGAAGUUGAUAACCUUUAUUUUAAGAAGGAAUAAAUAAUAUUAGUGAGAGUCACAAUAGAGAACUUGAAACUUCAA